rnacentral:lncRNA from 1 species
UUAAACUGAAGCAUGAUUAAGGCUAUUAUCAAUAAAUAUAAAAAAUAUACAAAAAAUAAUCAACAAAAUGCAAAAAAGCUGCAAUAAAUAUAGGAAAAGUAUACGAAAAAUAUCACAAUACAAUCACAUUGAUCUGAGGAAAGAAAUUGUAAUUUUUACUAAGUUUUGUAUAACAAAGUAAGUGACCAAAUCAUUGAGCUGUAAAAAAUAAAUAUGUUCUUCUGAAUUUUGAAAGAUUCUUAAUGUACAAUAUAUAUGUAUAUAUGUAUAUAUAUAAAAGGACUGAAUAAAUAGUCAACGAUUAAUCUUACAGGGGGAUGUUCACAUCGCAAAUAACUAUUUUUAUAUGGCAUAUCUUUGCGCCGUGUUUGGAAGUUUUAAAAUUGUACCAGUGCCUGUGGUGUCCGCUUAAAUUGUAUAAAUUUUCAAGAUUUAGAUAGUGUCUCAAUUUGAAUAUAUUGACAUGAUUCAUUUGAAAUCAUGCUAUUACCGAAGAAGGAUAUCUGUUAUCCGAAAUAUCUUGUAUUUGUUCAUUUUAUAGUUAUUUAAUGGUGAUGUUGUACCCUUUUUUGAAUUGUUAUAUAAAAAUACUUCAUUACUACUUAAUUUAUAUGUUUCUCAUGCUUAUUAGUUGAAUCUAAAAAAAAAAUAAUAAUUUAAGUUUAUCACCCAUGUAUAAACGAGUUCUCAGCAUUAGGGGAGUCACAAAUAAAUAAAUUUGAGUUGCUAAAAAAAUAUAUUUAUGAAUAAACAAUAAUUUUGAAAAAAAAGAUUCCUCCAGUUAUGUUUUGCUGCCUAUAAAAUGUAUAAACUUACUUUUUUUUUAAAAUAUAUAAUUAUAUGUAGUAUAAUAAGUUAUCACUUGUGUCUUUAUACCAAGACUAAUUGUUCCUCAGAUCAAUGCUUACAAAACAGAGUACAACAAAGGAUAAAUAAAAAAGAUCCCAAUAAUUUGUCCAAUUUAUAAUAAAUAAUUAAUAUUAACCCUUUCCUCCAUAAUGACGCCACCCCUUAACUCCAUAAUGAUGCCAUUUGACGCCUAUGUAGUGCCUCAGUUGAAAUGUAUUGCCUAUGAAAAAACUUUAUCAGACUUUAAAAAAAUUGUAUCUAAUAUAAAAAGGAUAUUCAUAAGAUAUCUGAUUGGAAUUUCACUCAUGAAAUAUUUGUUUUAGCAAUGCAUUAAUACUUUAAACCUGAUGCAAAUCAAGUAUGUAAAAAGAAUAUUUCCAUGUAGGAAAGGGUUAAAGAAUAUACAUUUUCAUAGAAAUCUUGUAACCACUUAAUUUUGUUCAUUUAUCACUUAGGAAAACAAAUCAAAGUAUUUGCUAUUUCUGACAGUAAUUAGGUCAUGUGACUAUUCAGUUUCUGCCAGUUGGGUCAUGUGAUCAUGCAGUUCCUGACAGUUGGGGUCAUGUGACCAUACAGUUUCUCACAGUUGGGUCAUGUGACCUUACAGUUUAUGACAAUUGGAAUCAUGUGACCAUACAGUUCCUGACUUUUGGGGUCAUGUGACCAUACAGUUCCUCACAGGUUGGGUCAUGUAACCAUACAUUUCCUCACAGUUGGGUCAUGUGACUAUUUGAUAUCCUGAUAUGAUACUUCUUACUUCAAUAUAACAUGGUGCAUUCAUGUUAAAAAUAUAGAGUUCCUUAUAAUAGCACCAUCCCAUUAGGUAAACGUCAAUCCAACAGCAACCCAACAAAACAAAAUAAAGUCUAAAAGAUGUCAAAAUGUCAAAAUAUAGUCUUCAAUGGUAAUUCUUAUAGAUUAUCCCUGGUUUUUCCAAACAAUAGGAUGUUACUCCGCUACAAUAUAUACUGAAGGGUGAGAAACAUCCUCAAGUUUGAUAAACCAUUGACAAUCUGUGUAAUGUCGUAAAUGUAGGUAUAAGACGUCAUGCAUUUUCUUUCUACUCAACAAAAAAAAAUCAUAUCACUCAAGUAUUCUGAUAAGAAAAAUUAUCAAAAAACAAAAAUUCAAAGCAAAAUUUAUAUAUUAGAAUAGAGAUAAGUAAGUUUACUUUAAACUACAGUGUGUUUAUCUUACAAAAUAACCUCUAAAAUUUGUUUGCCUCCUUUCCAUCUCAAUUAAUCCAGAAACCUGAGGAAUUCGGUCAAAAAGACUGUAUUAUAUGGAAUCAGGCAUACCACCAUUGUAAAAGAAAUAAUUUCAGUCAACUGCAAUUGUCUUCAAAAAUCUGUUUUCUUUUCCUUCAAAUUAUUUCUUAAUAAAGUCAUAAAAAUAUGAAACAUACACAAAAAAACCACAGAGAAAUGUAUAAAAUACUGAACUAUCUUUAAGUACAAAUAACAAUAGCCAUCAACACGACAACAAAACUGAAAAAGACACAAUUUCAAUUAUUGCUGAUAAUUUGUAUUUGUGUAUUCUUGCAUUGAUUCUGUCUUUUGUAACAAACUUGUGAAAGACCACUUAUAUUUUCCAAUCCCUUAUUUUGUUACAAUUGAGCUUAUUAAAUAUAUAGCUGUCAUUUCAUAUUAAACAAGAAUGUGUCCCAAGUACACGGAUGCACCAUCCGCACUAUCAUUUUCUAUGUUUAGUGGACCGUGAAAAUGGGAUAAAAUCUCUAACUUGGCAUUAAAAUUAGAAAGAUCAUAUCAUAGGGAACAUGUUUGCUAAGUUUCAAGUUGAUCGGACUUCAAGUUCAUCAAAAACUACCUCCACCAAAAACUUCAACCUGAAACAGGACAGACUGACGAACAGACGGACGCAGACCAGAAAACAUAAUGCCCAUACAUGGGGCAUAAAAAACAUUGUCAAAUACAUUGGGAAAAACAUCUUGCAGUAAAUUUUAACCAGUGUCAUUAUUUAGAAAAAAUGCAAAUUUUAAGUCCUAAAAUACAUGCCAAUAUUUUCAGUUUGCAAGACAAGAUGAAUUUAUCUUAUUCUGACAAAAAUUGGUCCACAAGUUUGAAACAUAUAAGAUAUUAAAAUGUUUUAACAAAUCAUACAAUAUAUGUAUAAGUAGAUAUGACUCCUAUCAAUGCUUACAAAAGGCCAUCAUCUAACAAGUCGUGUUUGCCAUGGAAAAGGUCAAAGAAAAGGUCAUUGAUGGUAUCUUUUUUAUGGUCACAUUUAGUAAGACAAUUAUUUUCCUGUAGAUAACACAAAGAUGUCUCAACUUAACAAUUUCAGAUGCUGCUGAUGCCAGAAACAGCAUGCCUAAGUCGUGUUUCAUCAACUCAGACAUAGGGGAGACAAACAUAAUUGUUACAAGUAUGAGCAGUUACAAAGAUAUUUUACCAUUUGAGACAAUAAAGACAUAUGAUAAUUUAUGGAACACAUAGAAAAAAUUAAUACAAAAAAUUUAAAUAUUUACACACCUCAUAAUUUAAC